GCGGACGGGUCGUCGUUCGUCACCCUGCAUCACACAAAAAUGGACACGCGCACACACGCAGGCAGGCACAAACAGACAAAACAUGAAUCUUAGGAGUCGAUUCCUCGUGGAACUGAAUCUUGACACUCAGAAAUGGGAGUCGACACGGAGUCGAAUACAUUAUUUUGGAGUCGACUCUCCACCACUACAGCAUCGACGUUAACAGCUGAAAAAAAGUGGCAGAGAAAGGCAAGUGACAGCAGCCAAAUGAGAAGAAAAUGCAAGCUUUGCGAAGUGGAAUUGAGUGGACCACAAUGGGCCCGGUGUCUCGAAUGGUGCUCUGCGUGCGGUUGACCUGCUCCAGGAAGCUGAGCACGCCCCCAGGCUCGUUGGGAACACCGUGGUCAGGCCAGCUCAGGUACUGGUAGUGCCAG